UACGUAGGGGGCAAGCGUUGUCCGGAAUCAUUGGGCGUAAAGCGCGUGUAGGCGGCUCGAUAAGUCCGUUCUGAAAGUCCAGGGCUCAACCCUGGGAUGCGGAUGGAUACUGUCGGGCUCGAGUCCGGAAGAGGCGAGUGGAAUUCCCGGUGUAGCGGUGAAAUGCGCAGAUAUCGGGAGGAACACCAAUGGCGAAGGCAGCUCGCUGGGACGUGACUGACGCUGAGA
rnacentral:rRNA from 1 species